CGGGCCUACACACUGGACUGGCUGGGGACACAAACAAGCUAUGGGUUGGGGCAACCACACUUCCCGUUUCCCACUCCCCCCCUCACUGGGUGGGAAUCGACAGACGACACAUAAGUACACUGCCUAACGCACCCGCAUUCCACCAGGAUUGCCCGACAUUAGACGCCCUGACCGUUAAGCCACCUGACCCUGAGCUGCGGGCAUGGGAACACCCACCCGGACGCACAGGACGGAACAGCACGAUUAGAUUAGAGCCCACACAUAACAAGCACCCAGACACACACGUAAAUGUCAUGGAUACAAGACGUGACCAAACCUACCUGACUCCGAC